GGCCUUAUCACGUUAAAACACCGGUUUCCGUACGAUCAGCGAAGUUAAGCAACGUCGUGACUAGUCAGUACAUAGAUAGGUCAACGCUUGGGAAUAUCAG